GAUCCUGGCUCAGGAUGAACGCUAGCGGCAGGCCUAACACAUGCAAGUCGAGUGGUAACAGGGAGUAGCUUGCUACUUUGCUGACGACCGGCGCACGGGUGCGUAACGCGUAUACAAUUUGCCUUGUACUGGGGGAUAGCCUUUAGAAAUGAAGAUUAAUACCCCAUAGUAUAUGACUGUGGCAUCACAGCCAUAUUAAAGGUUACGGUACAAGAUGAGUAUGCGUCCUAUUAGCUAGAUGGUGUGGUAACGGCACACCAUGGCGACGAUAGGUAGGGGCCCUGAGAGGGGGAUCCCCCACACUGGUACUGAGACACGGACCAGACUCCUACGGGAGGCAGCAGUGAGGAAUAUUGGACAAUGGAGGCAACUCUGAUCCAGCCAUGCCGCGUGCAGGAAGACUGCCCUAUGGGUUGUAAACUGCUUUUAUACGGGAAGAAACACCCCCACGUGUGGGGGCUUGACGGUACCGUAAGAAUAAGCACCGGCUAACUCCGUGCCAGCAGCCGCGGUAAUACGGAGGGUGCAAGCGUUAUCCGGAAUCAUUGGGUUUAAAGGGUCCGUAGGCGGACGAUUAAGUCAGAGGUGAAAGUCUGCAGCUCAACUGUAGAAUUGCCUUUGAUACUGGUUGUCUUGAAUUAUUGUGAAGUGGUUAGAAUAAGUAGUGUAGCGGUGAAAUGCAUAGAUAUUACUUAGAAUACCAAUUGCGAAGGCAGAUCACUAACAAUAUAUGACGCUA
rnacentral:rRNA from 1 species